ACUUUGCUCUUUAGGCUGAGUGCUAACGCAGUUAAAAAUCACAGUCAGCUAGUUUUUCCCUCCACUUUUUCGAGGGGGGGAGGUAGUGAAGCCUAGUCCUAGACUAGUCCUAGAUAAUUUGAUGAAAACAACAGGGCUACAAAGUAAAAGCCAGGCAGCCUCCCCCCGGGGAAGGAAGUCAGCAAGCUCCUUUUGCAACACACUCUCUGGUUCACAGGGUUCCAGUUUGAUCAGCCUUCCAUCUGGGGGACCUCCUCUGAUGGUGCAAUCUACAUCUGACCCAAGACCAUGACAGUUCAGCAUUUGUCCACUGUCCAGUGACCAGCAACCUUCA